GUAGAACGCUGAAGAGAGGAGCUUGCUCUCCUUGGAUGAGUUGCGAACGGGUGAGUAACGCGUAGGUAACCUGCCUGGUAGCGGGGGAUAACUAUUGGAAACGAUAGCUAAUACCGCAUAAAAUUGAUUAUUGCAUGAUAAUUAAUUGAAAGAUGCAAUUGCAUCACUACCAGAUGGACCUGCGUUGUAUUAGCUAGUUGGUGAGGUAACGGCUCACCAAGGCGACGAUACAUAGCCGACCUGAGAGGGUGAUCGGCCACACUGGGACUGAGACACGGCCCAGACUCCUACGGGAGGCAGCAGUAGGGAAUCUUCGGCAAUGGGGGGAACCCUGACCGAGCAACGCCGCGUGAGUGAAGAAGGUUUUCGGAUCGUAAAGCUCUGUUGUAAGAGAAGAACGGGUGUGAGAGUGGAAAGUUCACACUGUGACGGUAUCUUACCAGAAAGGGACAGCUAACUACGUGCCAGCAGCCGCGGUAAUACGUAGGUCCCGAGCGUUGUCCGGAUUUAUUGGGCGUAAAGCGAGCGCAGGCGGUUAGAUAAGUCUGAAGUUAAAGGCUGUGGCUUAACCAUAGUAUGCUUUGGAAACUGUUUAACUUGAGUGCAGAAGGGGAGAGUGGAAUUCCAUGUGUAGCGGUGAAAUGCGUAGAUAUAUGGAGGAACACCGGUGGCGAAAGCGGCUCUCUGGUCUGUAACUGACGCUGAGGCUCGAAAGCGUGGGGAGCAAACA
rnacentral:rRNA from 1 species